rnacentral:rRNA from 1 species
ACGAACGCUGGCGGCGCGCUUAACACAUGCAAGUCGAACGGACUCUUCGGAGUUAGUGGCGGACGGGUGAGUAAUACAUAGAUAAUCUGCCCUUUAGUGGGGGAUAACUAGGCGAAAGUUUAGCUAAUACCGCAUAAUGUAGUUGGUUGAAAUACCGAUUAAGAAAAGAGCAAUUUGCUUAAGGAGGAGUCUAUGGUUGAUUAGUUAGUUGGUGGGGUAAAGGCCUACCAAGACGAUGAUCAAUAGCUGGUUUGAGAGAACGAUCAGCCACACUGGGACUGAGACACGGCCCAGACUUCUACGGAAGGCAGCAGUGGGGAAUUUUCCGCAAUGGGCGAAAGCCUGACGGAGCGACGCCGCGUGGAGGAUGAAGUUUUUAGGAAUGUAAACUCCUUUCGACAGGGACGAAAAAAAUGACGGUACCUGUGGAAGAAGCAUCGGCUAACUACGU